UCCGGGAGAGCAAGGUCGCCAAGGGAUGAAAGGUGAUGCUGGAGAGCCAGGACUUCCAGGCCGAACAGGAACCCCAGGAUUACCUGGCCCACCAGGACCAAUGGGACCUCCAGGAGACAGAGGCUUCACUGGAAAAGACGGUGCAAUGGGACCCAGGGGCCCACCAGGGCCGCCGGGAAGCCCAGGCUCCCCAGGAGUCACAGGACCAAGUGGGAAGCCAGGAAAACCUGGAGAUCAUGGCAGACCAGGUCCAUCUGGGUUGAAAGGAGAAAAAGGUGAUAGGGGAGACAUUGCUUCCCAGAACAUGAUGCGAGCAGUUGCAAGACAAGUCUGUGAACAAUUGAUAAGUG
rnacentral:misc_RNA from 1 species